rnacentral:rRNA from 1 species
AGAAGUGGCCAAACCUCCUUGUCAACGCCUGAUUUUGUCAGAUCUCAGAAGCUAAGCAGGGCUGGUCCUGAUUAGUACUUGAAUGGAGCCCGCUGUGAGGUUCCAAUGGGGCACCAGUGGCAACACCUCUC